UACAGGGGGGGCAAGCGUUGUUCGGAAUUACUGGGCGUAAAGGGUCUGUAGGUGGCCAACUAAGUCAGACGUGAAAUCCCUCAGCUUAACUGGGGAACUGCGUCUGAUACUGGAUGGCUUGAAUUCGGGAGAGGGAUGCAGAAUUCCAGGUGUAGCGGUGAAAUGCGUAGAUAUCUGGAGGAAUACCGGUGGCGAAGGCGGCAUCCUGGACCGACAUUGACGCUGAUGAGCGAAAGCUAGGGGAGCAAACGGG
rnacentral:rRNA from 1 species